GAUGAAGAAGACAGCGGCGAAGCCAUCGCUCCCACCAUCGCACUAAAUCGGAAGCCCUAAAUCUCGAACAAGAAAUUAACCGAAAGAAAUUAGAAGAUGACUCUUUCAACAUCCAAUGGAAAAUCGUAUAUGGUUAAUCACUGAUCUACAGUUGCAGGUAAGUGAAUCAACGAUCAUCGUGAUGAUGAUUACGAGGUGUUUGAUCCAGUGGGUAUUUGUGGAUCUAUACAUGCCUAAUUAGGUCAUGAGAUUUAAAUCAAUUUAGUGACGGUAAUCUUAUAUGUUUGUUAAUCGUUUCCACUAAAUUGACUAAAUAAUCGGUACGUUUUUGGACUAGACGCCUGUAUAUAGCUUACAUUGAUUACUAGGUUGGAAUGUAAAUUGAUUUAAUAAUGAUUUCUUGUGGUUUGUAGACGUUUUUUAACGUGAUUUUACAUAGAGAAAGUGAAAGGUAGUUUCUUAUGCAAACAUAUUAAUCCUUCUAGCUAUUACAUACUAUUAGUUUUUAUAUGUAGAUAUUUAUCGUUUUACCCAGUUUGUAAAUGUAGAUUAAGGAAAACACCAACAACAGCAAAAACAAUCCUGUAAGAGGUCAGUUAGGACCAACAUGGAAAUCUGUAUCAUUUGGAUAACAUAUGCUGGGACAGUUCACUUAAAGAGGUUGGUGUGGAUGAAAGACCGCUGAAGGCGG
rnacentral:lncRNA from 1 species